ensembl:snRNA U2 U2 spliceosomal RNA
AUCGCUUCUCGGCCUUUUGGCUAAGAUCAAGUGUAGUACCUUGAUGAAUUCAUCACAAAGUUUUAAAAUGUUUUAAAUGUUC